rnacentral:rRNA from 1 species
GACGGAGGGUGCUAGCGUUGUUCGGAAUUACUGGGCGUAAAGGGCGCGUAGGCGGCUGCUCAAGUCGGGUGUGAAAGCCCGGGGCUCAACCCCGGAACGGCACCCGAGACUGGGCGGCUCGAGACCGGGAGAGGUGGGUGGAAUACCCAGUGUAGAGGUGAAAUUCGUAGAUAUUGGGUGGAACACCGGUGGCGAAGGCAGGUCUCUGGGCCACUACUGACGCUGAGAAGCGAAAGCGUGGGGAGCAAACAGG